GGUGGUUCAGUGGUAGGGCACUUGCCUUGCAUGCAUGAGGCCCUGGGUUCAAUUCCUCAGCACCA
rnacentral:tRNA from 1 species